rnacentral:rRNA from 1 species
GUUAGCGACCAAAGCGGAGGGGGUACACCUGUUCCCAUACCGAACACAGAAGUUAAGCCCUCCAGCGAUUUGGUAAGUACUGCCUAACCGGCGGGAACACCAAGUCGUCGCUAACC